rnacentral:rRNA from 1 species
CCAAGUUAUUAAGGGCACACGGUGGAUGCCUAGGCAUCAGGAGCCGAUGAAGGACGUGGGAGGCUGCGAUAAGCCUCGGGGAGCUGCCAACCGAGCUGAGAUCCGAGGAUGUCCGAAUGGGGAAACCCGGCAGCAGUCAUGUGCUGUCACCCUCACCUGAACACAUAGGGUGAGUGGAGGGAACGCGGGGAAGUGAAACAUCUCAGUACCCGCAGGAGAAGAAAACAACAGUGAUUCCGUGAGUAGUGGCGAGCGAAAGCGGAUCAGGCUAAACCAUACUAGUGUGAUAGCUGACAGGCGUUGCUAGUGUGGGGUUGUGGGACCUACCAGCUGGGGCUGUCGACCUGGCAGGGAGUCAAUAAAGUGACGUGGUUAGCGGAAGGCGUCUGGAAAGCGCCAGCGUAGAGGGUGACACUCCCGUACGCGAAAACCCGUCACCUCCCGGUGGGGAUCCCAAGUAGCAGCGAGCCCGUGAAAUUCGCUGUGAAUCUGGCGGGACCACCCGCUAAGCCUAAAUACUCCCUGAUGACCGAUAGCGGACUAGUACCGUGAGGGAAAGGUGAAAAGUACCCCGAGAGGGGAGUGAAAUAGUACCUGAAACCGUGUGCCUACAAGCCGUCGGAGCCUUCUUUGGGGGGUGACGGCGUGCCUUUUGAAGAAUGAGCCUGCGAGUUAGUGGUGCGUGGCGAGGUUAACCCGGGUGGGGUAGCCGUAGCGAAAGCGAGUCCGAAUAGGGCGAUUUAGUCGCGUGCUCUAGACCCGAAGCGGAGUGAUCUACCCAUGGCCAGGGUGAAGCGCGGGUAAGACCGCGUGGAGGCCCGAACCCACCAGGGUUGAAAACCUGGGGGAUGAGCUGUGGGUAGGGGUGAAAGGCCAAUCAAACUCCGUGAUAGCUGGUUCUCCCCGAAAUGCAUUUAGGUGCAGCGUCGCGUGCUUCUCGUCGGAGGUAGAGCACUGGAUGGUCUAGGGGGCCGACAAGCCUACCAAAAUCAGCCAAACUCCGAAUGCCGGCGAGCCAAGAGCGCGGCAGUGAGACUGCGGGGGAUAAGCUUCGUAGUCGAAAGGGAAACAGCCCAGACCACCGGCUAAGGUCCCUAAGCGUGUGCUAAGUGGGAAAGGAUGUGGGGUCGCACAGACAACCAGGAGGUUGGCUUGGAGGCAGCCACCCUUGAAAGAGUGCGUAAUAGCUCACUGGUCAAGUGAUCCCGCGCCGACAAUGUAGCGGGGCUCAAGCACACCACCGAAGCCGUGGCGUUCACACAAUGAUCCGCACCCUCAUUCGUGGGGGUGUGCAGUCGUGUGGACGGGUAGGGGAGCGUCGUGCGGGGAGUGAAGCGGCGGGGUGACCCAGCCGUGGACGCCGCACGAGUGAGAAUGCAGGCAUGAGUAGCGAAAGGGGAGUGAGAAACUCCCCCGCCGAAUGACCAAGGGUUCCUGGGCCAGGCUAAUCCGCCCAGGGUAAGUCGGGACCUAAGGCGAGGCCGACAGGCGUAGUCGAUGGACAACGGGUUGAUAUUCCCGUACCCGCAUGAGCGCGUCCCUGGUGAGGCCGGUAAUGCUAACCGCCCGAACCACCUUCAACCCCUUCGGGGGCGGUGGGUGGUGAGCGCGGAACCCAAACCGGUAGUAGCCAAGCGAUGGGGUGACGCAGGAGGGCAGCCCCGCCAGUGAGUGGUAGAACUGGUGUAAAGGUGUAGCCAGCCACCAUAGGCAAAUCCGUGGUGGUGACGGUGAGACCUGACGCAUAGCCGAUUGAGGCGAAGCAGGGUGAUCCCAUGCUGCCGAGAAAAGCCUCUAGCGAGUUCUCAUGCGGCCCGUACCCCAAACCGACACAGGUGGUCAGGUAGAGAAUACCAAGGCGAUCGAGAUAACUGUGGUUAAGGAACUCGGCAAAAUGCCCCCGUAACUUCGGGAGAAGGGGGGCCGAGUUGCGUGAAGCCCUUCACGGGCUGGCGUGGUUCGGCCGCAGAGACCAGGGAGAAGCGACUGUUUACUAAAAACACAGGUCCGUGCGAAGUCGUAAGACGAUGUAUACGGACUGACGCCUGCCCGGUGCUGGAACGUUAAGGGGACGGGUUAGCCUUCACGGGUGAAGCUCAGAACUUAAGCGCCAGUAAACGGCGGUGGUAACUAUAACCAUCCUAAGGUAGCGAAAUUCCUUGUCGGGUAAGUUCCGACCUGCACGAAUGGCGUAAUGAUUUGGGCGCUGUCUCAACGAGGGGCACUGCGAAUUUGUGGUACCGGUGAAGACGCCGGUUGCCCGUGACUAGACGAAAAGACCCCGUGCACCUUUACUACAUCCUAGUAGUGAAUGUUGACGUGUUAUGCGCAGGAUAGGUGGGAGACUUUGAUCUCGGCUUCUCGGAGUCGGGGGAGUCAACGGUGAGAUACCACCCUUAACACUUCGACGUUCUAACCUCGACCUGUCAUCCAGGUCAGGGACACUGCUAGGUGGGUAGUUUGACUGGGGCGGUCGCCUCCUAAAGUGUAACGGAGGCGCGCGAAGGUUCGCUCAGGCUGUUUGGAAAUCAGCCAUAGAGUGCAAAAGCAGAAGCGAGCUUGACUGCGAGUCCUACAAGACGAGCAGGUGGGAAACCAGGCUUUAGUGAUCCGGUGGUUCCGCGUGGAAGGGCCAUCGCUCAACGGAUAAAAGGUACGCCGGGGAUAACAGGCUGAUCCUAGCCAAGAGUUCACAUCGACGCUAGGGUUUGGCACCUCGAUGUCGGCUCAUCACAUCCUGGAGCUGUAGCAGGUUCCAAGGGUCCGGCUGUUCGCCGGUUAAAGUGGUACGUGAGCUGGGUUUAGAACGUCGCGAGACAGUUCGGUCUCUAUCUGUCAUGGGCGCAGGAGAUUUGCGUGGGGCUGUCCUUAGUACGAGAGGACCGGGAUGGACGGACCUCUAGUGUACCGGUUAUCGCGCCAGCGGUAGCGCCGGGUAGCUACGUCCGGAAGGGAGAAACGCUGAAGGCAUCUAAGCGUGAAACCCUCCACAAGAUGAGAUCUCCCGAGCCGUAAAGGCUCCUAAAGGCUCCUGGAAGAUUACCAGGUGAUAGGUCGGGUGUGUAAGCGCAGUGAUGCGUUGAGCUUACCGAUACUAAUCAGCCGUGAGGCUUGACCA